CUUUCGGGGAGAAAAAAGACCCUGAAAAGAAAGACGCCCUGUGGAAACGCAGGGAGAGCGUCUCGGAUCAUUGACAACUAAAUAGGAGCAGCAACGUCCAAUUAAAGGGCCCUGAUCACGAAACACAGGAACAAAAUGAAUCUGGAGAGUUUGAUCCUGGCUCAGAACGAACGCUGGCGGCGUGCCUAACACAUGCAAGUCCAACGUGAAAGGGGAGCAAUCCCCCGGUAGGGUGGCAAACGGGUGAGUAAUACAUGGGUGAUCUACCUUAGGGA
rnacentral:rRNA from 1 species